CAGCAGCCGCGGUAAAACGGAGGGCACGAGCGUUACCCGGAUUUACUGGGCGUAAAGGGCGUGUAGGCGGCCUGGGGCGUCCCAUGUGAAAGGCCACGGCUCAACCGUGGAGGAGCGUGGGAUACGCUCAGGCUAGAGGGUGGGAGAGGGUGGUGGAAUUCCCGGAGUAGCGGUGAAAUGCGCAGAUACCGGGAGGAACGCCGAUGGCGAAGGCAGCCACCUGGUCCACUUCUGACGCUGAGGCGCGAAAGCGUGGGGAGCAAACCGGAUUAGAUACCCCGGUAGUCCCUGUCUCUUAUAC
rnacentral:rRNA from 1 species